rnacentral:rRNA from 1 species
CUUGCUCUUCGAUUCAGCGGCGGACGGGUGAGUAAUGCCUAGGAAUCUGCCUGGUAGUGGGGGACAACGUUUCGAAAGGAACGCUAAUACCGCAUACGUCCUACGGGAGAAAGCAGGGGACCUUCGGGCCUUGCGCUAUCAGAUGAGCCUAGGUCGGAUUAGCUAGUUGGUGAGGUAAUGGCUCACCAAGGCGACGAUCCGUAACUGGUCUGAGAGGAUGAUCAGUCACACUGGAACUGAGACACGGUCCAGACUCCUACGGGAGGCAGCAGUGGGGAAUAUUGGACAAUGGGCGAAAGCCUGAUCCAGCCAUGCCGCGUGUGUGAAGAAGGUCUUCGGAUUGUAAAGCACUUUAAGUUGGGAGGAAGGGCAGUAAGAUAAUACCUUGCUGUUUUGACGUUACCGACAGAAUAAGCACCGGCUAACUC